UGGUGUUUCAGUUGUCCUGCCAAGGGCAGAAGCUGAGUAGCCAUGUUCGGAAGGGAUAAGCGCUGAAAGCAUCUAAGUGCCAAGCCCCCCUCGAAAAUAGGUAUCCCUGUCCGCAAGGACUGAAGGCUGGUCGUAGACUACGACCUUGAUAGGCGCAGGGUGUAAGAUCCGUAAGGAUUUCAGCUGAUGCGUACUAAUAGCCAAUCGGCUUGACCUUAUAUA
rnacentral:rRNA from 1 species